UCCAGACUCCUACGGGAGGCAGCAGUGAGGAAUAUUGGUCAAUGGGCGCGAGCCUGAACCAGCCAAGUCGCGUGAGGGAUGACGGCCCUACGGGUUGUAAACCUCUUUUGUCGGGGAGCAAAUUCCGUUACGUGUAACGGAGUCGAGAGUACCCGAAGAAAAAGCAUCGGCUAACUCCGUGCCAGCAGCCGCGGUAAUACGUAGGGGGCAAGCGUUAUCCGGAAUCACUGGGUGUAAAGGGAGCGUAGACGGCAGUGCAAGUCUGAAGUGAAAGCCCCGGGCUUAACCCGGGAAUUGCUUUGGAAACUGUACGGCUGGAGUGCUGGAGAGGUAAGCGGAAUUCCUAGUGUAGCGGUGAAAUGCGUAGAUAUUAGGAGGAACACCAGUGGCGAAGGCGGCUUACUGGACAGUAACUGACGUUGAGGCUCGAAAGCGUGGGGAGCAAACAGGAUUAGAUACCCCUGUAGG
rnacentral:rRNA from 1 species